UACGAAGGGGGCUAGCGUUGCUCGGAAUCACUGGGCGUAAAGCGCACGUAGGCGGAUUGUUAAGUCAGGGGUGAAAUCCUGGAGCUCAACUCCAGAACUGCCUUUGAUACUGGCGAUCUUGAGUCCGGGAGAGGUGAGUGGAACUGCGAGUGUAGAGGUGAAAUUCGUAGAUAUUCGCAAGAACACCAGUGGCGAAGGCGGCUCACUGGCCCGGUACUG
rnacentral:rRNA from 1 species